CCGAAACGAAAUAAAACUGCUGACUUAUGGAUUAAAUAAAUACGUUGAAAAGAAGUGCUCCUGAAUGGAAUAUACGACAGAUAACAAGAGCUGUCGACGCUUCCUUGGUUGCAUCCUUUAUCCAUCCUCGGUACAUUCUAUUUCCUUCAUCAAAACGCAUCAUGUGAAAAUGGCGUGAUAUAUUCGCUGUCCUAUCAGAUUCCAUCUUAAUUCCGAGACCUCAACCUAUUGGAUAUCAGAAACUGGAAAGGCAGCGAUGACGUAAACUGUCCGAGACGGUCAUGGUCUGUUCUAGCAUGUAAUGCCGAAGAAGAUAUUUCUAAGCACUAUUGU